AUUGAACGCUGGCGGCAGGCCUAACACAUGCAAGUCGAGCGGAUGAAGGGGGCUUGCUCCUGGAUUCAGCGGCGGACGGGUGAGUAAUGCCUAGGAAUCUGCCUGGUAGUGGGGGAUAACGUCCGGAAACGGGCGCUAAUACCGCAUACGUCCUGAGGGAGAAAGUGGGGGAUCUUCGGACCUAACGCUAUAAGAUGAGCCUAGGUCGGAUUAGCUAGUUGGUGGGGUAAAGGCCUACCAAGGCGACGAUCCGUAACUGGUCUGAGAGGAUGAUCAGUCACACUGGAACUGAGACACGGUCCAGACUCCUACGGGAGGCAGCAGUGGGGAAUAUUGGACAAUGGGCGAAAGCCUGAUCCAGCCAUGCCGCGUGUGUGAAGAAGGUCUUCGGAUUGUAAAGCACUUUAAGUUGGGAGGAAGGGCAGUAAGUUAAUACCUUGCUGUUUUGACGUUACCAACAGAAUAAGCACCGGCUAACUUCGUG
rnacentral:rRNA from 1 species